rnacentral:rRNA from 1 species
AAUCAACGCUGGCGGCGUGCCUAACACAUGCAAGUCGAACGCGAAAGGGGCUUCGGCCCUGAGUAGAGUGGCGAACGGGUGAGUAACGCGUGGGUGACCUACCUUCGAGUGGGGGAUAACGUUCCGAAAGGAACGCUAAUACCGCAUGAAGUUCUGGAUUUGAACAUCCGGAAACCAAAGCCGGGGACCGCAAGGCCUGGCGCUUGGAGAGGGGCCCGCGUCUGAUUAGCUAGUUGGCGGGGUAACGGCCCACCAAGGCGACGAUCGGUAGCUGGUCUGAGAGGACGACCAGCCACACUGGGACUGAGACACGGCCCAGACUCCUACGGGAGGCAGCAGUGGGGAAUUUUGGACAAUGGGCGCAAGCCUGAUCCAGCCAUGCCGCGUGCGGGAAGAAGGCCU